rnacentral:rRNA from 1 species
AGAGUUUGAUCCUGGCUCAGGACGAACGCUGGCGGCGUGCCUAAUACAUGCAAGUAGAACGCUGAAGAGAGGAGCUUGCUCUUCUUGGAUGAGUUGCGAACGGGUGAGUAACGCGUAGGUAACCUGCCUUGUAGCGGGGGAUAACUAUUGGAAACGAUAGCUAAUACCGCAUAACAAUGGAUGACACAUGUCAUUUAUUUGAAAGGGGCAAUUGCUCCACUACAAGAUGGACCUGCGUUGUAUUAGCUAGUAGGUGAGGUAAUGGCUCACCUAGGCGACGAUACAUAGCCGACCUGAGAGGGUGAUUGGCCACACUGGGACUGAGACACGGCCCAGACUCCUACGGGAGGCAGCAGUAGGGAAUCUUCGGCAAUGGGGGCAACCCUGACCGAGCAACGCCGCGUGAGUGAAGAAGGUUUUCGGAUCGUAAAGCUCUGUUGUAAGUCAAGAACGGGUGUGAGAGUGGAAAGUUCACACUGUGACGGUAGCUUACCAGAAAGGGACGGCUAACUACGUGCCAGCAGCCGCGGUAAUACGUAGGUCCCGAGCGUUGUCCGGAUUUAUUGGGCGUAAAGCGAGCGCAGGCGGUUUGAUAAGUCUGAAGUUAAAGGCUGUGGCUCAACCAUAGUUCGCUUUGGAAACUGUCAAACUUGAGUGCAGAAGGGGAGAGUGGAAUUCCAUGUGUAGCGGUGAAAUGCGUAGAUAUAUGGAGGAACACCGGUGGCGAAAGCGGCUCUCUGGUCUGUAACUGACGCUGAGGCUCGAAAGCGUGGGGAGCGAACAGGAUUAGAUACCCUGGUAGUCCACGCCGUAAACGAUGAGUGCUAGGUGUUGGAUCCUUUCCGGGAUUCAGUGCCGCAGCUAACGCAUUAAGCACUCCGCCUGGGGAGUACGACCGCAAGGUUGAAACUCAAAGGAAUUGACGGGGGCCCGCACAAGCGGUGGAGCAUGUGGUUUAAUUCGAAGCAACGCGAAGAACCUUACCAGGUCUUGACAUCCCGAUGCUAUUUCUAGAGAUAGAAAGUUACUUCGGUACAUCGGUGACAGGUGGUGCAUGGUUGUCGUCAGCUCGUGUCGUGAGAUGUUGGGUUAAGUCCCGCAACGAGCGCAACCCCUAUUGUUAGUUGCCAUCAGGUAAGGCUGGGCACUCUGGACAGACUGCCGGGGAUAACCCGGAGGAAGGCGGGGAUGACGUCAAAUCAUCAUGCCCCUUACGGCCUGGGCUACACACGUGCUACAAUGGCGUAAACAAAGGGAAGCGAGAGGGUGACCUGGAGCGAAUCCCAAAAAUAACGUCCCAGUUCGGACUGUAGUCUGCAACCCGACUACACGAAGCUGGAAUCGCUAGUAAUCGCGAAUCAGCAUGUCGCGGUGAAUACGUUCCCGGGUCUUGUACACACCGCCCGUCA